AUUGAACGCUGGCGGCAGGCCUAACACAUGCAAGUCGAGCGAGCGGCGGACGGGUGAGUAAUGUAUGGGGAUCUGCCCGAUAGAGGGGGAUAACUACUGGAAAAGGUGGCUAAUACCGCAUACACUCGGAUGCACCAAUAUGGGAUUAGCUAGGAGGUGGGGUAAAGGCUCACCUAGGCGACGAGCUCUAGCUGGUCUGAGAGGAUGAGCAGCCAGACUGGAACUGAGACACGGCCCAGACUCCGACGGGAGGCAGCAGUGGGGAAUAUUGCACAAUGGGCGCAAGACUGAGGCAGCCAUGCCGCGUGUAUGAAGAAGGCCUUAGGGUUGUAAAGUACUUUCAGCGGGGAGGCGUUACCCGCAGAAGAAGCACCGGCUAACUCCGUGCCAGCAGCCGCGGUAAUUC
rnacentral:rRNA from 1 species